GGAAUCCCUUGACAAAAGGGCCAGAGGUACUGCCUUGGACUGGACCUUCAGGUGAGCCGAGCGGGGUGUGAGAGUGUGUGUGUGUGUGUGUGUGGUGACCACAAGUGUAUGGGGGAGAGGAGGACUCUCGCUGAACAUACGGCUUAGUAGAUGAUACGUACCUGCGGUUUAUACAGGUCAUUCUAUGCCAAAUUCCGAGGCCCACCCUGUUCUGGGGUGAGGGGUUUACCCUGCAGCAUCUGUCCGAUUCUCCCACCUAUUUCUGAGUGUGGACUCUGUGGUACCGCAGUUCUUUGUCGUCCGAGAGGAACCCAGUCGGGUCAAGUCAAGCUAAGUUUUGGAGUCUUGCAUGCUUGCAAAGGGUAUCCUUCCCGAACCCCAAGGAUAUCCUUCCGUGCCCAUAACAGCAGUGUACAAGAUCUUUGAGGCGCCUAGCUCUCCCUGUAACAUCCCAGCAAUGACCUAAAGGGACAUCAGCUGGAACAAUGGUCAAGGAGACCAAAGAGAAAGACCAAUAAGUUGCUUCAUCCAUCUCAAGGCUACACAAAAUCAUGACCAAAAGCCUACAGUAAAGUCACUUGAAAAGGAUGGAUAUCAAUGGAGCAGAAGCUGGAAGGAACUUUGGUGAACAGAGCUGAAAGCCAGUGGGGUCUGGAAGCAAGCCUGUUGGGAUAUCAGUGAAAGAGAAAUCCAGGCCUAGAAGGUCACUAAACAGGGAGACCCAGUAGUUAACAAGGCCAACAUAGCUUCUAGAAAGCCAGGAAGCCCGAGAGCAGUACAAUCUCCACUCUCCAAUUGACUGUUGUGGCCAAAGUAAGAGGUGAAGCCAGCUCCCACUUGGAAACUCUUCAAGAAGGAGACAAGGAUGGUGCCAAGACUAACAUUAGCAUUAGGGUCACCAGGAAGAGGAGGCAGAAGCCAGAAAUUUCCACAGAAGGCAGAAUCUAAUCCAAGUCACUCCAUCUAGAUAUAUAACAGUAGUGACAUCCACACUAUAGGGCCAGAAGCAAACAAAGUCUGCCUGCACCAUUUAAGAGUCUGGGAAAGAUCCGAGUCUAAUCCCAACCCAAAGUUUCUCUUCUUUAACUAAGACUGAAGAUAGUAAUAAACAAAAGAAAACUCAAAGUACA
rnacentral:lncRNA from 1 species